rnacentral:rRNA from 1 species
GCAAGUCGAGCGCUAUUUAUAGAGUGGCGCACGGGUGAGUAACGCGUGGGAACCUGCCUUUUUCUGCGGGAUAACGGUUGGAAACGACCGCUAAUACCGCAUACGCCCUACGGGGGAAAGGUCCGCCGGAGAAAGAGGGGCCCGCGUCUGAUUAGCUAGUUGGUAGGGUAACGGCCUACCAAGGCGACGAUCAGUAGCUGGUCUGAGAGGAUGAUCAGCCACACUGGGACUGAGACACGGCCCAGACUCCUACGGGAGGCAGCAGUGGGGAAUAUUGGACAAUGGGGGCAACCCUGAUCCAGCAAUGCCGCGUGUGUGAUGAAGGCCUUAGGGUUGUAAAGCACUUUCACUGGUGAAGAUGAUGACGGUAACCAGAGAAGAAGCCCCGGCUAACUUCGUGCCAGCAGCCGCGGUAAUACGAAGGGGGCGAGCGUUGUUCGGAAUUACUGGGCGUAAAGGGCGCGUAGGCGGUCUUUUAAGUUAGGCGUGAAAGCCCCGGGCUCAACCUGGGAACUGCGCUUAAGACUGGAAGACUAGAAAACGGAAGAGGGUAGUGGAAUUCCCAGUGUAGAGGUGAAAUUCGUAGAUAUUGGGAAGAACACCAGUGGCGAAAGCGGCUACCUGGUCCGAUUUUGACGCUGAGGCGCGAAAGCGUGGGGAGCAAAC